UUACAGAGAGAGAACCCUUUAUUCCUCCUGAGUCCAGAUGGAAAUUUUAUGCUUGUUUGUUGAAAGUUUGAGGUUAGAGUUACCAGGGCAAUAAUUAGGCUUAAAUCCUGGAAUUUCGUAGACUUUUUCUGUCUACAUUCUAGGAUUGUUCUCUCUUACUUGUGUAGUAAUAUAUUGGAUUCUUUUCUGCUGUGCCACAACAGGAAUUCCCUGGAUGUUAUUUUCAAAAUCAUUGACAAUUGAGGAAAAAAAAUCAACCCAAGGAACAUUUUUAAAACUCUUCUUUUUCCAGUCUUCCCUCAAAACAUUUAUCUCGCUCUGUUAUUAAUUUUUGCAAUAAAUCAAUAAAGUUUGCAAUCCUAUAAGCAGUGUCCAUCUAAAUAACCAGAAAGGCUACAACUAUGAUUGUUAGGCUUAUGAUCUUGACAUUAAAAAAAAAAAAAACCCUGCCUUUUCUUGGGUUAAGUUGUCUUGAAACUAACACAAAAGUUAGUUGAUCAUGAUUCUUGGAUAACGAUAACUGAACCUUCAUUUUAUGAAUUUAACAAUUCAUAGUAUCCAUGUAUUCUUAUGAAUUUUUCAGGCAAAUACAGUUUACUUAGCGCAUUUUAAGUAACUUGAUAGUUUUCGUAGCAACAUAUUAAAAAUAUUUACCUCAAAGAAAAUUCUUUAAAAUUGAAGUUCAUUACUUCUUUGAUUUCCAUUAUAAAAUCAAAAAUGUUUUCUCAGCAAGGGGAAAAAUUUUUUUUGAGUUGAAAAGAUUUGGUGAAAGAGUUGAGGUGCAUCUGGUUCAGUAACAUACUAAGCAUUUUUUUUCUUUGCAGUGCUCCCAUCCCUACUUAUGACCUUUCUCCAUUGCCCUCCAUUAUCACCCCUAAAUCACAGAACUUCAUUUAGUGUUAUGCAGUCCUCAGGGCAAAUGCUGCCAACAGCCUUGAACUAGACCUGUCCUCUCUUUGUAGUCUCUAACAUAAGCUAGGCAUUCAUAUUUUGCCAGUGGGAAUUUUUAAUGUAGUAAACUUCAGUCUGAAAAUUCCCCAAGUUCUUAUCCCUUUUUUUUUUUACAAUUAUUUACCACUUUAUCAGUUAUAGUAUUAAAUUUAUUUAGAGUAAGGAAUGCCUGUUUGAUUUAUAACUGAAGCUAGUUUGCAUUAUUUUUCUUCAGUCAUUAAACUGUACUCCUACUUAAGGGAACUUUUGAGUCAUUAGGCAACUAUGAGCAACUUGGUUUGUUAAUCACCAUUUACUGUUUGAUUCAUUUUUUGAAAAGGACCCAAAUAUUACAUUUAAUGACAUACCAAACUUGGAUUCAAGCAGUAUCUUCCAUUAGGUGAUUUGCUUCUGACCUGAGACACAUUACGUAAGAUCUACUCUUUCAUGAACAUUUUUUGUUUUAUGUGGUAAAAAAUUAACAGGUAAACACAAAAUUUGAUUCUUAAAUUAGAUUUUUAAGAGUUCCCUGUGGUGCAGAGGGUUAAGAAUCCGAGUAGCCACUGCAGCAGCUCAGGUUCCUGCUGUGGUUCGGUUCAGUCCCUGGCCCAGGAACUUCUACAUGCUGUAUGCAUAGCAAACACACACACACAAACACACACACACAUUUGAUAAUUCUAUUCUGAGACAAUUUUAAUAAUUGCAUUCUAAUUGCUUUUAAUAAUUUUGUUACAAAAAACUAUAAAAUGAGUGUGAAUGCCAAAUUACACAUUUCAUUUCAUGGAAAUGAAAGUGAUGGUUUGUGCUAUAAUUUAUAAAGUCAAAAAGUUUGAAUUGUGUAUUAUUUGGACUAUUGUUUUAAGCAUUCAUGGAAUUUAAAGACCUGUAAGGUCUUGCCUUUGCCCUCCUGGUGUGCUGCAGGGUAUUGUAGAGGUUAGGGUUGCCAUGUUGUGUGUUAUCGUUCAGACAUUCUGGCUCUGUGCCUUUUAGGUAGGCUUGGGCAGGUCAUUUCACCGCAGUGGACGCCAGCUUAUUUAUCCAUCAGUAUGGGCUUUGGAUCAGAAGAACCUUUCCAUUUCUCUAUCCCUGGAGUCUGUGAAACUUCUAAAGUUACUUUCAACUUCCUUCUGUGGCCUUUUCUCAUUUUUCUCCAGAUUCUCUGUUUCAUUUGACAUUAAGUGACCAUCCUUUCCUUCUUGGCAUCCUUCAUUUUUAGUUACAGUUGCUUUAGUAAUGUGUUUCAGUGUCCUGUUUCUCUGUCCCAUUUGCCUGGUCCCCUUUUUUAUCCUGUCACUUAAUUGUGUGUGUGCGUGCGUCUGUGUGUGUGUAUCAAUUAGUAAAACUUGUAUUUUGGGCCUAUACAUCAGAAGCUUUAAAUAGGCAAUUCUUCCUGUUCCAAAAAGUUUUUUUAAGACACAGCCUAAAACGUGCUCUUAAAUAUAUUUGAUAACUUAAACUUACUUUUCCAUGUAAAAACCCUAUCUACUUGAAUUUGUUUCAAACCAGAGACUGUUUUUCUUCCUCUUCAUCUAUUCUCCUCUACACCUAGCACUGGGCUGACGACUCAGAUCAUCCACUUAAUCACAAGUGUUCCUGUUCCUGUUUUGCCUUUGAAAUCUUGUUGUUUUAAGAUCAUGGUAUUUAACAGGCAAAUCAAAAUGGCGACAAAUGGAAAUGAAAGUGAUGGUUUAAAAACCUGGAAAGAAAUACAAUUUCAUUUUUUUUCCCAAAGAUUGACUCACAAAUUGAGGCGCAAUAGAAUAUGGGAUCUUUUUGUUUGCUCCUCAUCUAAAUUUUACUUCAGAAAUAUAUUUUCCGGAGUUCCCGUCGUGGCGCAGUGGUUAACGAAUCCAACUAGGAACCAUGAGGUUGCGGGUUCGGUCCCUGCCCUUGCUCAGUGGGUUAACGAUCCGGCGUUGCCGUGAGCUGUGGUGUAGGUGGCUCUGGCGUAGGCCGGUGGCUACAGCUCCGAUUCAACCCCUAGCCUGGGAACCUCCAUAUGCCGCAGGAGCGGCCCAAGAAAUAGCAACAACAACAACAAAAAGACAAAAGACAAAAAAAAAAAAAG
rnacentral:lncRNA from 1 species